UCACGCAUGGUGUUGGAUCUGGUAGUUUUUUGGCGAAAUCAAUUAGAUCAAUCAACACCAUGCGUGUCUA
rnacentral:antisense_RNA from 1 species